AAAGAUUAAGCCAUGCAUGUCUAUGCACACGCCCUUGAUUGGUGAAGCCGCGAAAAGCUCAUUACAACAGCCAUAGUUUAUUGGAUCUUUACGUUCCUACAAGGAUAUCUGCGGUAAUUCUGGAGCUAAUACUUGCGAAAAACGGCGACCUUACGGAAGUCGUGCAUUUGUUAGACUAAACCAAUCGGUCCUUCGGGACCGUCAUUUGGUGAACUCUGAAUAACUCAGCUGAUCGCACAGUCUCGUACUGGCGACAAAUCCUUCAAGUGUCUGCCUUAUCAACUGUCGAUGGUAGUUUACACGACUACCAUGGUUGUAACGGGUAACGGAGAAUAAGGGUUCGACUCCGGAGAGGGAGCCUGAGAAACGGCUACCACAUCCAAGGAAGGCAGCAGGCGCGCAAAUUACCCACUCUCAGAACGAGGAGGUAGUGACGAAAAAUAACGAGGUGGCCCUCUUUGAGGUCCAUCAUCGGAAUGGGUACAAUUUAAAUCCCUUAACGAGGAUCUAUUGGAGGGCAAGUCUGGUGCCAGCAGCCGCGGUAAUUCCAGCUCCAAUAGCGUAUACUAAAGUUGUUGCGGUUAAAAAGCUCGUAGUUGGAUCUGCGCCAGGUGGAAGCGGUCGCCCGAUGGGUUGUUACUGCUUACCUCCGGCUAACCAUUCGGUUUUCCCUUGAUGCUCUUAAGUGAGUGUCCUGGGUGACCGGAACGUUUACUUUGAAAAAAUUAGAGUGCUCAAAGCAGGCAUUUCGCCCGAAUAUUCGUGCAUGGAAUAAUAAAAGAGGUCCUUGUAGCCUUUUAUUGGUUAUCGCUACGAGGAAAUGAUCGAAGGGGACAGACGGGGGCAUUUGUAUUGCGACGUUAGAGGUGAAAUUCUUGGAUCGUCGCAAGACAAACUACUGCGAAAGCAUUUGCCAAGAAUGUUUUCAUCAAUCAAGAACGAAAGUCUGAGGUUCGACGGCGAUCAGAUACCGCUUUAGUUCAGACCGUAAACGAUGCCAUCUGGCGAUCCGCCGGCGUUAUGUUUGACCCGGCGGGCAGCCACCGGUAAACCUUUAAGUUGGGUUCCGGGGGAAGUAUGGUUGCAAAGCUGAAACUUAAAGGAAUCGACGGAAGGGCACCACCAGGAGUGGAGCCUGCGGCUUAAUUUGACU
rnacentral:rRNA from 1 species